UGGGGAAUCUUGGACAAUGGGGCAACCCUGAUCCAGCCAUGCCGCGUGAGUGAUGAAGGCCCUAGGGUUGUAAAGCUCUUUCAACGGUGAAGAUAAUGACGGUAACCGUAGAAGAAGCCCCGGCUAACUUCGUGCCAGCAGCCGCGGUAAUACGGAGGGUGCGAGCGUUAAUCGGAAUUACUGGGCGUAAAGCGCGCGUAGGCGGUUGCUUAAGUCGGAUGUGAAAGCCCCGGGCUCAACCUGGGAACUGCAUUCGAUACUGGGCGACUAGAGUACGAGAGAGGGAGGUAGAAUUCCACGUGUAGCGGUGAAAUGCGUAGAUAUGUGGAGGAAUACCGGUGGCGAAGGCGGCCUCCUGGCUCGAUACUGACGCUGAGGUGCGAAGCGUGGGGAGCAAACAGGAUUAGAUACCCUGGUAGUCCACGCCGUAAACGAUGGUCACUCGGUGCUGCGGGUAUCGACCCUGCAGUGCCUUAGCUAACGCGUUAAGUGACCGCCUGGGAGUACGGUCGCAAGGCUGAAA
rnacentral:rRNA from 1 species